UGGGGGAUAUUGCACAAUGGGCGAAAGCCUGAUGCAGCGACGCCGCGUGGGGGAUGAAGGCUUUCGGGUUGUAAACCUCUUUCGCUAUCGAACAAGGCCCGCUUAGGGUGGGUUGAGGGUAGGUGGAGAAGAAGCGCCGGCUAACUACGUGCCAGCAGCCGCGGUAAUACGUAGGGCGCGAGCGUUGUCCGGAAUUAUUGGGCGUAAAGGGCUUGUAGGCGGCUUGUUGCGCCUGCUGUGAAAACGCGGGGCUUAACUUCGCGCGUGCAGUGGGUACGGGCAGGCUUGAGUGUGGUAGGGGUGACUGGAAAUCCAGGUGUAGCGGUGGAAUGCGCAGAUAUCUGGGGGAACACCGAUGGCGAAGGCAGGUCACUGGGCCAUUACUGACGCUGAGGAGCGAAAGCAUGGGUAGCGAACAGG
rnacentral:rRNA from 1 species